rnacentral:rRNA from 1 species
UACGGAGGAUCCAAGCGUUAUCCGGAUUUAUUGGGUUUAAAGGGUGCGUAGGUGGUUCUUUAAGUCAGGGGUGAAAGACGGUAGCUUAACUAUCGCAGUGCCUUUGAUACUGAAGAACUUGAAUACACUAGAGGUAGGCGGAAUGUGACAAGUAGCGGUGAAAUGCAUAGAUAUGUCACAGAACACCAAUUGCGAAGGCAGCUUACUAUGGUGUCAUUGACACUGAGGCACGAAAAGCGUGGGGAUCAAACGGGG